GCCAGACUCCUACGGGAGGCAGCAGUGAGGAAUAUUGGUCAAUGGGCGUAAGCCUGAACCAGCCAAGUCGCGUGAGGGACGACGGCCCUACGGGUUGUAAACCUCUUUUGCCGGGGGACAAACGGCGGCACGCGUGCCGUCCUGAGGGUACCCGGAGAAAAAGCAUCGGCUAACUCCGUGCCAGCAGCCGCGGUAAUACGUAGGGGGCAAGCGUUAUCCGGAUUUACUGGGUGUAAAGGGAGCGUAGACGGCUGUGCAAGUCUGAAGUGAAAGCCCGUGGCUCAACCGCGGAACUGCUUUGGAAACUGUAUAGCUUGAGUACUGGAGAGGCAGGCGGAAUUCCUAGUGUAGCGGUGAAAUGCGUAGAUAUUAGGAGGAACACCAGUGGCGAAGGCGGCCUGCUGGACAGAAACUGACGUUGAGGCUCGAAAGCGUGGGGAGCAAACAGGAUUAGAUACCCGCGUAAGU
rnacentral:rRNA from 1 species